CUGUCUGUUUCCAUAGCUUAUA
rnacentral:miRNA from 14 species